rnacentral:misc_RNA from 1 species
ACACCUCAACUCCCAUGGUUCGCCAUGAUGAGCUUGGACUUUGGGGGUCUUGCUGGCCUAACCGUCAGCUCCUCUCAAAUGAAUCAGCUUGCCAGUGUUUGGUGGCGUCACAGGUGUGAUAACUAUCUACGCUUGUGGUGUUCCAUCAGGUUACCUUCAGCAAUGAAGGUUCGCUGGAGCUUACAGACGUCUCUCCUCAGGGAGGACAGCUUUUUGAAC